GUAAGGAAUAUUGGACAAUGGCCGCAAGGCUGAUCCAGCCAUGCCGCGUGCAGGAUGAAGGUGCUCUGCAUUGUAAACUGCUUUUGUUCGGGAAUAAACCCCUCUAUGUAUAGGGGGCUGAAUGUACCGAAAGAAUAAGGGUCGGCUAACUUCGUGCCAGCAGCCGCGGUAAUACGAAGGACCCAAGCGUUAUCCGGAUUUAUUGGGUUUAAAGGGUGCGUAGGCGGGUUAUUAAGUCAGUGGUGAAAGCCUACAGCUUAACUGUAGAACUGCCAUUGAUACUGAUGAUCUUGAGUAUGAUUGAGGUGGGCGGAAUGUGUCAUGUAGCGGUGAAAUGCUUAGAUAUGACACAGAACACCGAUUGCGAAGGCAGCUCACUAAGCCAUAACUGACGCUGAUGCACGAAAGCGUGGGGAGCAAACAGGAUUAGAAACCCUAGUAGUCC
rnacentral:rRNA from 1 species